AUUGACAAUGUAUAAAUUUGACAAUACAUAAAGAAAAAAAUUACAUUCCGAUCCCUUUCUUAUGAUAUACUUUCAAAUCUUUUCACUUUUAAAACUGAAGCGAUUUUAUUUAUUUUAAUAAGAAAUCUACAAACUCAACACAAACACUUUUGAAAAUAAUUAGUAGCACACCAAUUGUACUUAAGUAUUCAAAACAUGGAUUUGAACACCUCAGUCCAACAUAUAUAAUAAUAUUUUAUUAUUAAAAAAUAAUUUUUUAUUACAAAAUAUUAUAUUAAAUCAUAAUUUAUUUGCCUUUCAACAAUAGCAUAGCAAUUUAAUUGAUAAAAAAAAUAAAUUAAAUUUAUUUAGAGCCUAUUUAAUUUAGUUAUUUAAUGUAACCGACAACGGUUAAUAAUUGACUUAUUUAAGUGUUUAAUAAAACUAUGUUUAGCCGUUAUAUUGAUUUAUAGCCUAAUUUUAUUUUUUUUAUUAAAUCUCUGUAUUUUAUUUGAGAAUUAAAUAAAUUUUAAUUUAAUAUAAUAUUAUUUUUUUAAUAAUAAAAUAUAUUUUUUUAAUUUUAAAUACUAAAAAUUUAAUAUUUUAAUUAAAUUAAAAUGCUAAACAUUAGCUAUUAAAAAAAUACUCAACACUAUCUUAAAUAGUUAAAAAAAAGUGAUAUCUGUGAUUUUUAUUUUUUUUUUCUAAAAAAAAAAAAAGAAAUAAUGAUUUUAGUUUAAACUUUGAAAUAUUUUAUGAAUUUUUUAAUUCUCAUUUAGAUUUUGAUUUAUGAAAUUUAGUAGUUAAAAUUUUUUAAUUUAUAACCAAAAAAUUGAUUUUCAAUCAAAUUUAAGCUUCCAAUUCUGAUAUAAUUUACAUUAAUUUUAAUAAAAAAAUUAUUUAUAUUUUAAUUCAGUUUUAUAAUUUCAAAUUAAAUCUCCAUUUAUCUUUGCAAAAUAACUUUUAUUUGAAAAAUAUUUUCUGUAAUGUAAAAAAUAAAAAUAUUUUUCAUAAAAAAAAUUUUUCGAUAGAAAAUAUUUUUUAAUAAAAUAAUUUAUUUUUUAUUAUAUAAAUUUAAUUUAAAAAAUAAAAUAUAUUAACAAGUUUAUAUAUGGAGAUUUUAUAAGAUAUUUAAAGUGUAAAAAAUAAUUUUUAUAAAAAUAAAAUUAUUUUUCUUAAAAUGAUUAAAUUUGUUUAGUUAUAGAAAACAUGUCUAUUUUUUAAAAAAAAAAUUCUUACAUUUAAAAAAAAAAAAGAAAAGGCAUUUUAACUAUUUUACUCUAAUUAGAAAAUAGAAAAUAAAUUUUGUGUUUUCUAAAUUUUAUAAAAAAUAUGAAAAAUACUGAAAAGAUUAUUUUUCAUAUUUUUUUCGUUAUAUUGAAAAGUUGAAAAAUAUGGUUUUCUAAAAUAAAAAACACGGAGUUUUAUGUACAAAUAAAUAAAAAAAAAACAUAUUUUCUAUAAAAAAAAUCAUGAUAAUUUUAAACAUAUUUUUUAAUUUUUUAAUUGAAAUUAAAUUUCAAUUCAAUAUUAUAUAAAGUAAACAUGUAAAGAAUGAAAGACAUCUGAAAAUAGAAUAUAUAACAUUAUUUUUUAUAACUAAAUGUAUUCUUAAUUUUUUUUAUUUAAUUAAAAAAUAUUUUUUAUUAAUUAAAUUUUUUAACUGUUUUAAAUAUUAAAAACUGUUAAAAAAUAUUUUUAACCACAAAACAAACGGAAUCUAAAUUAAUUUGAUAUUAAAACCAUGGCGUGUCUGUGUAGGGAUGCGCAUUCGUUCGAUUCGGUUUAAAAUCGAAUCGAACUGAAUAAAUCAAAAAUUAAAAUUUUAGUAUUUAUAAAAAUCGAAUCGAAUUGAUUUUGAUUAGAAACCGAAUCGAAUUGAACCGGUCUGAUUCGAUUUGAUCUGUUUCAAUUUUUAAUAAAUUUUUUAUUUUUUACACUUUAUUUUUAAUAUUUUAAAAUUUAAUUAAAAUAUUUUAAUUUUAAUAUAAUUUAAUUUCUCUAUAUUAUUGAAAUAAUAUAUUAUUAUCACUAAUCAGUUUGGUUUGAUUUUUUCGAUUUUUUUUAUCAAAACCGAAUCGAACUAAAAUAAUCGAAAUUUUUUAAAUUAAAAACCAAACCGAAUCGAAUUGAAUAAAAAAUCAAUCCAAAUUUUAAUAUUAAUUCGGUUCGGUCGAUUUUUUUGGCUCAACCGCUCACCCCUGUGUCUAUGUUACUGUAUCAAUAAUUGAACUGCAUCUGCUAUUAGGGUUGGUUGAUUUUGAGCCAUGGGCUUCUAAUUAUACCGAGGGCCCGUUACUUUAUCAGGCUCCCCGUUUGUAUUCUUCUAGACCUAGGCCUCUUCUGUAAUGGGUUGCAGCCUUCUCAAUGAAUGAAUACUAUCUUUAAAAAAAAAAAUUAAUGACAUGGCAUUUUAAGUUUUCUGUUUUAGCAUUAAUAAUUAUUUUAAAAAAUUUACUAAUUAAUCUUUAUAUGAGAAAACUCAUCAAGAUAAUUUUUCUAUUUUAAAAAGCAUAUUAAAAUGUUCUUAAUAUUUUAAAAAAUUUAUUAAUUAGUUUAUUCGUUAAUUUCAGUUGUUAAAUAUUAUAAAAAAAUUUAAAAUAUCAUCAAUAUAGAGAAAUUAAAAAGUAGACUUUUUAAAAACUGAAGGAUAAACUAACGAGUCUUUCAAAAUCAUAGAGACUAAAUAGUUAAAUAUUUAAUAGUUAAAAUUAAUCGAUAAAUUAACUAAUAGACUUUUCAAAAUGUUAAGGAUGUUUUAAUAUAUAUUUUAAAAUUGAGAAACUAAAUAAUGAGUUUUCUGAUAUUAUAGAGAUUAAAUAGUAAUUUUUUUUCUUUAUCAGAAAUCAAACAAAGAGAGUAUAAAGCUAAGAGUAUAACCAAAGUAUAUUCAGAAAUUCAAGCAAGUAAUAUAUUCAAUCCAUCAAUGUCCAUAUAGCUUGAAGAGAAAAUGGAUUCAAAUUUAUGACGAUAGAACUAUUUGAAGCUAGGUAAAACAACCACGAUAGAAUUAAAGUGAAAAAAAAAAAAGCAGACUGGACUAGACCACCUAUGAAACACCAAGAGAGGCUGAGAACACAAAAACAUUAUUAAUCUUCAAAUAAAUUGGCACAUAAAAUCGGACUAAAAUUUUAAACUCUAAAUUUUAGGAGGGGAUUAAUAAAAAGCGCAUAAAAUCGAACUAAAAUAGAUAAAACAAAUUAAUUUGAAGAACUAAAGAGAAAGGAAAAAGAGAUUAAAAAAAAAGGAGAAGAAAAAGAGUGAGAAAGCUCCACAAGAGGAGGAGAUCAAAAGGAAAAAAGGAAGAGAGAGACAUAUUGUCUCUAGGAGAAUAACCCUUCCUAAAGCAGACUGAGAUUACAACUCGAUCAAUUCUAAAAAAUUCUAACUUAUUAAGUACGGUUUACCGUAGAGAUUCUAAAAAAGAAAUUCAAUAAAUUAUAAAGCUAGAUAUUGCUACAGAGUCAGUUUUAAAAAAUAAUUUUAUUUUAAAAAUAUUUUAUUGUUAAAAUAUGUCAAAUCUAAUUUUCACAAUUGCACAACAACUUUCAAAAUGCUAAACACGACAAUUCGUUUGAUGAUAGAUAUACUUUGAAACUCGAACAAAUCCCAAGUUUUGAGUGUUCAUUGGGCUCUGUAUACCCACACACAUACCAAAAAAGAAAAAAAAAAAACAUACUUGCUAAUUUGAUUAAAAAUGAGCGAAAGAUAAUUGGUCAAUUUUGAAAAAAAAAGUGAAAUGGUUGGUAUUUAUGGGUAGUUAUUAUAAUACUCAAUGCAGUAAUUUAUUAUAAAGGACGAGUAUAAUCAAGUAGUUUGAACUUUAGAAUGCGUGUAUAAGAAUGCAUAUCUUGAACUCUAUAUAUGCUUUACUUUUACUGUAAGAAGAUGGAGUUUGUUGCUAAAUCUCUUGAAAAUCCGAUUGGAACCAACUAAUGAAUAAAAAAUCUCGUGAAUGUAGGCAUAAUGGGAACACUACAAGAUUUGUAGUGAUCACUAACGGACUUCACUAACGGAUUGAAGUCCGUUAGUGAUACUAACGGUAUCUAUAACGGAAUAGGACGCACUGUAUUGUCCACUAACGGAAGUGCAUAUCCGUUAGUAAUCUGUAAGUGAUAUACUAACGGACAUUAUUUCCGUUAGUAAUCCGUAAGUGAUUUAAUUAUUUUUUAAUCUAAUAUUUUUUUCACUAACGGAGUAAUCAUCCGUUAGUGAAUUUUAACCCAAAAUACACCGUAUACUAAAUGAGAUCCCUAAAUCGUGAGAUUGGGAAAUCGAAAACUCUCUGAAAUCAUCCAUCAUCCGCGGACGCUGCAACCAUUGGGUCUUUCACCGCCGCCGCCAACCAUCGUCUGCCGCCAUCCACGGUCUGCUGCCAUCCACUGUCCACAGGUGCGCCCUUCCUCGGCAUCACGGUCCACGAGUGAGCCCCUCUCUCUCUCCGGUCUUGCCAUUAUCGACGGACACUGUCCACAGGUACCCUAUUUUCUUGCAUGUACUCCAGUCUUGUGAAAUUGUUGUGAAAUAUUUUAUAUUUUUGAAAUUUUUGAUUUUUGUGAAAUUUGUGAAAUUAUCCUCUGCACCCGCUUGAUUUUUGUGCAAUGUUUUACCUGAUUCAUGUUUUAAAUUUUUUUAAUUUAUCCUCUGCACCUGCUGGUGCACUUGCAGGUGCUGAAAAUUUAUAUUGAUGUCAUUUUCCUCGGGCGUUUUAGACAUAUAAUUUGGGCCAUCAUAUAUUUUGUAUAUACUUUUAUUCAUCAUAUAUUUUGUAUAUACUUUUAAUUCAAUUUUUAUUUAUAACUGAAGUAUAGUGAGAAGAUAUGGGUUAAAUGAGUUAUAUGUGAAUAUCUGUUGAGCUCAUUUAACAAGUUGGAGUGUAAAUUUAAAAUUUGAUUCAUAAAUGAGCUAAGUUUGAGCUUGUUGAAGUAGAAAUUGGCCUCAGGUUUGGCUCAUUUGUUGCCUUAGUUAUAUGGGAAAAGAGAUAGUGAUCUUUGCACUGUUCAUCUUGUCAGUCUGCUGCAUUCAGGGUGGCUUUCUCAUGAGUUCAGCUUGAAAAUUCAUCAUUUGUUUUGUUUUUGGCUAGACAGAAAAGGAAUUUUAGGAGUGCACCUGCAGGUGCAAUUGGCAAGUGCACCAGCAGGUGCACUAUCCUGUGCACCUACUGGUGCACUUGCCAAGUGCACCAGCAGGUGCAUUUUGCAGUGCACCUGCUGGUGCACUUGCCAAGUGCACCAGCAGGUGCAUUAUCCUCUGUGCCAAGUGCACCAGCAGGUGCAUUUUGCAGUGUACCUGCUGGUGCACUUGCAUCCAGUGCACCAGUAGGUGCAUUAUCCAGUGCACCUGCUGGUGCACUUGCCAAGUCCACCAGCAGGUGCAUUAUCCAGUGCGCCUGCUGGUGCACUUGCCAAGUGCACCAGCAAGUGCAUUUUGCAGUGCACCUGUUGGUGCACAUGCAUCCAGUGCACCUGCUGGUGCACUUGCCAAGUGCACCAGAAGGUACAUUAUCCUCUGUGCCAAGUGCACCAGAAGGUGCAUUAUCCUCUGUGCCAAGUGCACCAGCAGGUGCAUUAUCCUCUGUGCCAAGUGCACCAGCAGGUGCAUUUUGCAGUGCACCUGCUGGUGCACUUGCCAAGUCCACCAGCAGGUGCAUUUUGCAGUGCACCUGCUGGUGCACUUUGCAAUUGUUACCUGUAUAUUUUUUGUUCACAUUGUUUGAUUUAUUUUUGGUGCAGGAAUUUGGGUUAAUUUUCAAGAAGGAGCUUGCACCUCUUCAGGAACUUAUAGACUCCAUAAUCGUUCCUUACUGAACAGGGUAUGUGUAAUUAUGUAUCUCAAGAAAUAUCUUAUAUUAGAGAGAUACAUAUUGAAACUGAAAUAAAUAAUAUUAGAGAUACAUAGUGAGCUGAAUAAGUACUCUGAAUCUGUGAGUAGCAAUUUGACUUUGUAUUCUCCUGUACUGUUUCUUGGAAAAGUGUUUUUGUUGUAUGCUUAUCUUAUAUUUUUAUAGUUAUUUCAGCAGA
rnacentral:lncRNA from 1 species